AUUGAACGCUGGCGGCAGGCCUAACACAUGCAAGUCGAGCGGGGUCUUCGGACCUAGCGGCGGACGGGUGAGUAAUGCGUAGGAAGCUGCCCGAUAGAGGGGGAUACCAGUUGGAAACGACUGUUAAUACCGCAUAAUGUCUACGGACCAAAGUGUGGGACCUUCGGGCCACAUGCUAUCGGAUGCGCCUACGUGGGAUUAGCUAGUUGGUGAGGUAAUGGCUCACCAAGGCGACGAUCUCUAGCUGGUUUGAGAGGAUGAUCAGCCACACUGGAACUGAGACACGGUCCAGACUCCUACGGGAGGCAGCAGUGGGGAAUAUUGGACAAUGGGCGCAAGCCUGAUCCAGCCAUGCCGCGUGUGUGAAGAAGGCCUUCGGGUUGUAAAGCACUUUCAGCGAGGAGGAAGGGUUGGUAGUUAAUAGCUGCCAAUUUUGACGUUACUCGCAGAAGAAGCACCGGCUAACUCUGUGCCAGCCGCCGCCGUAAAAC
rnacentral:rRNA from 1 species